rnacentral:lncRNA from 1 species
GCGAGAGACUAGGGGAGGAUGAGAUCUUUUACGCUGGUCACUUCGGAGAGAUCUCCAGCUAGCAGCUUCGCGGCCAAUCUCGCUCCCCGGACUUUGCAGUUAGUCGUGGAGAGUCCUCGGGUUUGGUGGAACUCGCAGAAGGUGUUUUCGUCGUAUCCUUGGUUGUGAGUCUAUGUAUUACCCGUGGUUUGGCCUUUGAUCCGAAUUUAUCGCGUAGUUAUGUGCCCCUUGGAGUUCUUCCCCCUCGUGAUGGACGUACUUGUCGUUACGA